AACGAACGCUGGCGGCAUGCCUAACACAUGCAAGUCGAACGAGACCUUCGGGUCUAGUGGCGCACGGGUGCGUAACGCGUGGGAACCUGCCCUUAGGUUCGGAAUAACUCCCCGAAAGGGGUGCUAAUACCGGAUAAUGUCUUCGGACCAAAGAUUUAUCGCCUUUGGAUGGGCCCGCGUUGGAUUAGCUAGUUGGUAGGGUAAAAGCCUACCAGGCGACGAUCCAUAGCUGGUCUGAGAGGAUGAUCAGCCACACUGGGACUGAGACACGGCCCAGACUCCUACGGGAGGCAGCAGUGGGGAAUAUUGGACAAUGGGCGAAAGCCUGAUCCAGCAAUGCCGCGUGAGUGAUGAAGGCCUUAGGGUUGUAAAGCUCUUUUACCCGGGAUGAUAAUGACAGUACCGGGAGAAUAAGCUCCGGCUAACUCCGUG
rnacentral:rRNA from 1 species